rnacentral:lncRNA from 1 species
UUGUCAGCUAUACUUAUCGUCACCGACUUAUCGCCUAGUUGGCAAGGGAAAGUGCACAACACUUCGGGAGAUUUACUUCACCAUAGACCGCUCCCGGAUGGACACCUUAAAGUAUCGGUUGAUGUUGUAUUAGAUAAGAAUGCGUUGCUACCGAUACCUGACAUUGUUUCAGAGACAACAUUGCUGCGAGAUGCAAUAGGAUCAUUUGUUGCAUGCCCUUGG